GGGGAUUUAGCUCAAUGGUAGAGCGCUUGCCUAGCAAGCACAAGGUCCUGGUUCAGUCCCCA
rnacentral:tRNA from 1 species